rnacentral:pre_miRNA from 1 species
UUGGAGGAUUUGAAGACUUCAACUUGUAAACUUGAAGAAUUUGAAGACUUCAACUAGAAUAUUUGGAGGCUAUGAAAACUUCAACU